rnacentral:misc_RNA from 1 species
UCGAUUUCAAUGCUUGUCUACAAUAUGAGUAAUAUGUAAAUACAAAUCAGUAUUGGACGUUAAAUUUCUAUUUCCUGGAGAUUCUGACAGUGACAAAGUAACAUUGUCUCUUUUAUUGAAGAAUUUACUUGAAUAUAAUUAUGUAUUUAUAAUUAUUUAUAAAAUGGAAACUAUCUUAAAACAUAAACUUAGUGUAUUUACAUUAGUAGUGACAAUAAUAUCUGCGGCUGUUGUAUUUAUUAUUUUAAAGUUUAAACGGAGGAUAAGAAAGGCUUCUGAGGCUUUUCAAUACAUGAAUAUUUCAAUAGUUACUGAUGAAGAGGCAUGCAAUAACGCAGUAUUAAUUUUACGAAGGAAGUGUGCACAUCAGAAUGCUAUAGGAUUUGACUGUGAGUGGGUGACUGUGGGUGGCAAGAAGCAGCCUGUGGCAUUGUUGCAGCUCUCUACCCUUGAUGGCUUUUGUGGUCUGUUCCGGUUAAAUCAAAUGAAAACUGUCCCUAGCUCAUUAAAAGCAUUACUUGAAGAUAACAACAUUUACAAAGUAGGGGUAGCUCCUACUGAUGAUGCAAAAUAUCUGUUCCUUGACUGGGGGGUUAAGCUAAAGAGCUCUCUGGAUGUGCGCCACUUGGCGCGCGAAUGCGGCUACAGCGCCGGCGGCCUGGCGACCCUCUCUGAGGCGCUGUUGCAGGUGACUCUGGAUAAACAUUGGAAGGUGCGUUGUAGUGACUGGGAGGCCGAGAAGUUGACGGAGAGACAAGUAGUGUAUGCAGCGGCGGACGCGCAUGUUGCCAUCAAAAUAUUCGCUAAGCUAAUCCGCGAAUACACGGGCAGAGCGCGCGGCUCUCUCUGGCUUGCUGGAAACCCAGACACGGAUUCACAAGCUGCUAAUGAUUUGUGUAGGGACAUUGCAGACAUUGCUUUUAAAUUGAAGCAUAAUCAUAAUCAGAAAUCUAACGGGAGGAAGGAUAAGACGAUGAAGAAAGAGGACGUAGUAAUAAGCAAGAGGUACCCGCACGCGACGCGCACCAAGCCGCUGUACAACAACUGCUACCUGCAGGCGCCCGACGGCGAGCUGCUCUGCACUUGCGACAAAAAGAAAGCCCUCUGGUACGUGGACAAAGGGUUGGCCACAGUGGAGAGCGAGGCGCCGCUGACGGUGCGGCUGCGGUUCGAGCCGGCCGGCCGCUCCGUGGGCCAGGUGGGCCGCUACUACCAGCUCGCCAAGGAGAACAAGUGCGUCGUGUGCGGCAGCACCCACUCUUACAUCAGGAAGAAUGUCGUGCCCAGAGAGUACAGGAAGUUCUUUCCCGAGGUGAUGAAGGACCACUCGUCGCACGACGUGGUGCUGCUGUGCGCGCGCUGCCACCAGCUCUCCAACACGCUAGACCUGCGCAUGCGCGAGACGCUGGCGCGCAAGUGUCACGCGCCGCUCAGCUCCGGCAAGAACUACUCCGCGGAGGACUUCAACACCAAGAAAAUGCGUGCGGUGGCGCGGGCCCUUCUGUACCAGUCGCGCUCGCUGCCCGAGGCGCGGCGGCGCGCGCUCGAGGCGCAGCUGCUGCAGCACUACCCGCAGUGCGAGCAGAUCACGCAGCAGUUGCUGGAGGAGGCGGCUGCCACAGCCCCGGAAGUGUAAGUGUGCUCUCCUCGCUUGGGGCGCUGCUGAGCCAUUGCAGGAGAACACGCAGCAGUUGCUGGAGGAGGCGGCUGCCACAGCCCCGGAAGUGUAAGUGUGCUCUCCUCGCUCGG